CAGUAGCCGCGGGAAUACGAAGGGGGCUAGCGUUGCUCGGAAUCACUGGGCGUAAAGGGUGCGUAGGCGGGUCUUUAAGUCAGAGGUGGAAUCCUGGAGCUCAACUCCAGAACUGCCUUUGAUACUGAGGAUCUUGAGUUCGGGAGAGGUGAGUGAAACUGCGAGUGUAGAGAUGAAAUUCGUAGAUAUUCGCAAGAACACCAGUGGCGAAGGCGGCUCACUGGCCCGAUACUGACGCUGAGGCACGAAAGCGUGGGGAGCAAACAGGAUUAGAUACCCCGGUAGUCCCUGUCUCUUAUAC
rnacentral:rRNA from 1 species